GCUUCCUACUCUGUGACAGAUUAUCCAGUCUGGCACAAUUUGAGCUAGCUACAGCAAGAAAGUCUGACCAAUUCCAGCGCUUCCCCCUCUGUGAGAUGGGCUGUUAUGCAGACUUAAACAGC
rnacentral:snoRNA from 1 species